rnacentral:rRNA from 1 species
CCGUAGCCGGUUUAAUAAGUCUCUGGUGAAAUCCUGUAGCUUAACUGUGGGAAUUGCUGGAGAUACUAUUAGACUUGAGACCGGGAGAGGUUGGAGGUACUCCCAGGGUAGAGGUGAAAUUCUGUAAUCCUGGGAGGACCGCCUGUUGCGAAGGCGUCUAACUGGAACGGUUCUGACGGUGAGGGACGAAAGUUAGGGGCGCGAACCGGAUUAGAUACCCGGGUAGUCCUAACUGUAAACGAUGCGGACUUGGUGUUGGGGUGGCUUUGAGCUGCUCCAGUGCCGAAGGGAAGCUGUUAAGUCCGCCGCCUGGG